rnacentral:rRNA from 1 species
GACAGAGGGUGCAAACGUUGUUCGGAAUUACUGGGCGUAAAGCGCGUGUAGGCGGCUGCGCAAGUCGGAUGUGAAAUCCCAUGGCUCAACCAUGGAAGUGCACCCGAAACUGCGUAGCUAGAGUCUCGGAGAGGAAGGCGGAAUGCUUGGUGUAGAGGUGAAAUUCGUAGAUAUCAAGCGGAACACCGGUGGCGAAGGCGGCCUCUGGACGAUGACUGACGCUGAGACGCGAAAGCGUGGGGAGCAAACAGG